rnacentral:rRNA from 1 species
GAUGAACGCUAGCUACAGGCUUAACACAUGCAAGUCGAGCGACCGGCGCACUGGUGAUUAAUGCGUAUCCAACCUUCCCAUUACUGUGGGAUAACCUGCCGAAAGGCAGACUAAUACCGCAUAGUAAGGGAUGGGGAUGCGUCUGAUUAGCUUGUUGGCGGGGUAACGGCCCACCAAGGCGACGAUCAGUAGGGGAUCUGAGAGGGAGGCACCCCACAAUGGAAAUGAGGCACGGUCCAAACUCCUACGGGAGGCAGGAGUGAGGGAUAUUGGUCAAUGGACGGAAGUCUGAACCUGCCAAGUAGCGUGCAGGAUGACGGGUUAUGGGUCGAAAACUUCUUUUAUAGAAGAAUAUGUAUUAGAUGAAUAAGGAUCGGCUAACUCCGUGCCAGCAGCCGCGGUAAUAC